AUACGGAGACAUGGUGCGCCCUGGGGGAGAGGGGAGGCACCGUAAGACUUUUAUAAAUUGACCUAUUGAAAUGCGACGUGGUCUAGAGGAGAAUGGGAUGAAAUCCUUGUUUUUUUUUUGUACACAGUCGUGACAUUAUACAAGGUUAUAAUUGUGACGAUACGAAACUUGCAUACAUAAGUUCAUUUUAGUUUUUCCCAGCAAACCGUGAGAAACUUAAUUUUUAACUUAAACAAUUAUUUUCUUGUCCACCCAUAACUAAUUUCUUGUAGGAUUUAUCCCCCCUCGCACGUUUCUCACGGGACGAAUCUCGACAUAAAACAUUAACUAGCUUCUCUAGGGCUAACUUUUAAUUAUUGACCGCUGGGCAGGUGCAUGACCAGCACACAAUAAGUCGCUGCACCAGCGCUACACGCCGCGGCCUAAUAACUUUUCACACCUAUUCCCCCCCCCCCUCGCAGGAUACACAUCGCUCUAAGAAUAGCAUUGCACUCGGGCUGGACAGAUACAUAUUCGCUUAAGACUUUACUCCCACGGUAGGCAACGAAUAUUGACCAUAAAUCUGACCUGACGCCUGACAUCUCCGGUACAUCGAUACAUGUGAGAAAAUCAGUUAGCUUUCUUCCCCACCCGUUAAACGAAAAGUCCCAUCUAUAUAUAGAGAGAGACCAAAGCAUUCCAAAUUAGGCCCGCUAGGAUUCAUUCAGUCUCCUCUGUUAGGAAGUUUAGUUGUGAGAUUUCAUUAGGGACAAACGGGUAAGUGUAAACAUUUUACUAUACUCAUUUUUAUCUUAUAGGGAUGUGUGAGUACACAUUAGUACACAACCACGUUCCCCGUCAUUACAUUAUGACUUUAUUAUGUAUAUACAUUGUACUAUUUUAUGUCGAUACUAUGUCUUCGUAUAGUAUUACUAAUGCCGCUAUGGUUGUCUACAUUUGAAACCAUAGUUAUUAUAUUUGAUUUUGUUAUGUUUCUCCAUUCCUGUAUUUUAGUGAUGGAUGUAAACAAUAACCUUUCGUGAAUCUAAGUACUGUCUAAGAACUUAGAUCACAGUGCUCUAAACUUACAGAGCCCAUGUGAAAUUAGUUAUUUCACAUUUCUGGUGUAUAUCCCUCAUACAUGUUAUUAUGUCUCCCACCCUUGUGAACUUAUAGUUCCUUGGAUGAAUGUAAUUUUGAUUAACUAUAUCAAACCCUUAUUACUGUAGCCCUAUCCCUAGUAUUUUACUUUCAUCUUAUCCUUUAGUAUAUAAUAUGCUCAUUCCCCAUUUUACUGUAACUGAUUACUUAUUGCCGUAAUCCAAUUUAAUGGAUGAAUCUUGGCUAGUAUCAUCCUACAUUGUAUGAUAACACGUUUAUUGUGGUUAUCUUACUUGAAUUUUGUUUGUUAUUGAGUUAUAUGCAUGCCUUAAGAUUUUUAUCUUAAAUGCCUAUUGGGAUUGAUACCAAUGCCUACAUCUGAUUGAUUGCAAGGCAUAUGGGAAUCCCUGCUCAAUGCUUUUAGGAGGUUCCUAAUUGUCUUUCUUAUCCCCAGCCUGGUUGCUACCCCUGGUUGCCACCCCUGAUUGCUACCCCUGAUUGCUACACCUGGUUGCUACACCCGACUGCUAUAACUAGCAGAUCUCCAUAGAAAGCUGAAACCGGAGCAGACCACACCAGAUACCCCCCCCCCAUUACAUACCUGUUAGCAAGAAGGCAUUGCCUACUGUCCUUGGCCUUAACAUAUUGCCCAGUGUCUACAGUGCCCUAUACUGCCCAGUAUCAUCUGCCCAGUACCUGGCCCAAACUGUCCACUGCCCAGUAGUUAUUGCCCAAUGCCGACAGAUUAGAGCAACCUUCGCAGCAGAAGAUAAACUGGUGUUGAGUUAGCACGGCUCUCUACGAGCUAGAGAUCACAGCUGAGAGAUCGUCCCACUACAACUUAGUCUGCAGCACCAACCAUCUCUAUUGCUAAACAGGCAGCGGCCUCACCCUAGAGCCAGCUUGCCUACAGCAUAGAGAAUAUCCCGAGCCGACGUCCUAAGACAGAGCCGGAUGACUCAUCCUUCUGAGUGCCAGUCUUACGACCGCCAGAAGACAACCCAGGAGCUAGCAGCUAAGAAAAAUAAGUAGCAGACUUAGGAACAUUCUUCUCCUCCAAUCACUCAAUAAUUAGCAAUCCAUGAUGAACAGUUAUUUUAGAUAUUAGCACCUUUAUUUCUUUUAUUUUCUUAAUUAUAAUUUUAUUUGAUCACUUUCCUUUGUAAACUUUCAUUCAUUAAAUUAUUUUUAUUUAUGAACUUAUAAUAUUGGUCUGUUCUUACUGUUAGUUGCGGUGUGCCUGUACAAAAUCUUAUAUGUGAGCGGGAUAAAAUUAAUAAAAUUUCCCCUAGACAUAAAUAAACAAGCCAAAUAAUAACUAAUUAACAUCUCGUCACAUAUUAAUGGGGUCUUGUCACGGGAUCUGUAACUAGAAUCCUAUAUUAGACAGGCACAGGCAUACAGCAGUAGAACUUUCCUAAAUAUAAUAUACUUUCAUUAUCUUAAAGUAGCGGAUUGCAAACUGAGUGAAGAGUGUUACUAGAGUCUUUAUUUUAUAUCUAUCUUACUUUAGAUGUUAUCACAUAUUAACUUAGUAUAAUAUUAUUAUUUGUGGUUAUUUUAAGUAGCAUUACUGUGCUUAAUAUUAUAUUAUUAUUACGGGCAACGUGGUUGUUUCAUACGGGCUUCAUAUAACGCUCUUACUUCAAUAAUAUCCCUCCUUUAAUUCUGAGUAGUCUCCAAUUUUAUUUCUCUCAUACGUAAAUAAUGGCCAGCAAUACUAGAUCCAAGACUGACUCUGACAGAAAACUUAAAAUACAAGAACUGACAGAGACAGCGGCAUUGUUAGAGUUAGAGGGGCCUAGCCGCUCUGAUUACAUCCGACAAAAGCUGGAUGAAUGGGAAUUAGAGGAGAAGUUAGCUCGAGAACGAGAAUUCGAGUUAGCAAUGGAGCGGGAGAAAAAUGAGCACGAACUAGCCAGGGAUAAAGAAAAAAAUGAGCACGAGUUAGCCAUGGAACGGGAAAGACAGGCAACCGAAAGAGCUAAAAUAGCUCAAGAGAAUGAGGCGGCUCGCACAGUCGCUGAUUCUCAGCCUGCUAGCCCAGCUUCCAGCCAAGGGUCCUCAAUCAGCUCACCCAACAUCCCCUUCGAGCCCUUCGAUGAGAAGAGCGAAAGUGUUGAAGUUUAUUUAACACGAUUCGAAGAGGUGGCACGCUAUUAUAGCUUGCCCAAGGAUAGGUGGUGUUUCAGGCUAGCUCAAUGCCUUAGAGGCAAGGCUUACGAGGCUUACACAAAGCUCCCCUCAUACCAACGGGAGGACUUUGAAGCCCUAAAAGAGGCACUAUUGGUUCAAUUUGAGCUAACCUCUGAUUCAUACCAUAAGAAGUUUCGAGGGUCCCGCCUUGAGCGCAAAGAAACUUAUGUCAAUCUUUGCGACAGGCUGGACAAAUACCUCGGGAAAUGGCUAGCCCUAAGCAAAAUGCCCGAAACAUUUGAAGGUCUUAGAAACCUUAUUCUGGCUGAGCAGCUUCGAGACUGCUUGACGCAGGAAACUCGAAUAUAUGUCAAUGAGCAACAGGCGACUGACCCUUCUGACAUUGCAAUUGCUGCAGACCGAUACGUAGCUGCCAGACGAGACCAGAAAGCUAAGACACCCGUAACAGAACCACAAUCUAGCGAAACCUCCCCUGCCCAGCCCACACCUCACAACCAAAAUCAAAACAACCAGGCACGUGUCCCAUCACAACACCCAUCCCACCAGUCGAACCGCCCUCCCCAUCAAUCACGCCAGAAUAAUUCCUACCACCCCUCUCACCGUGACUCACAUAACACGCGUGACGACAGGAGGACUCGACAACAACAAACCCCACACGUCGUAUCGGCCCUGACGACCGUUAGACGGCCCAAGACUGGUAACCCGGUAGGCCCAGAAAUCCCGUAUAUACCUCCUCACCCCUCUACAUCACCCCCAGGUGUAGAGAAGGCCCUAAUAAACGGCGUUCAAACUUAUAUCAUGUUUGAUACAGCCUGCUCUUUUACUUCCAUAAUAAAGGAAGCGCUGAUUGAUUCGGCAGAUCUCACCGGUGAAACGGUAGAGAUCCAAACCAUCGACAAAACUACACCUCCAAUGGUCUUGCCCAUAGCGAGGGUUCAUGUAGAAUGUCGAUACGUGCACGGGACCAUAAACGCUGCUGUUAUGGAGUCACCCGUGUACGACUUUAUUCUUGGCUCCCAAUACGUACCAUUGGGAAAUGUUAAGAAGCCAUAUUUUUCCCUGCCAGUCGGUAGAACGACUAGACAGAAGGAUGACCCAAAUCUGUCAAACACUGGGCGCCAUCACUCAGCACCUCAGUUCAACCGAACUAAGGAAAUUAAACCCCUAAUUCCUGACAUUGACAGUGUCAGACGGCGUUGGCGUGGUCAACAGUUUUGGCCCCCACGUAUAAAUAUGAUACCUGCAUGGAAUCACAAGGGUGGUAGUCGCCACCGAUUCCCGCCCAGUCCAUCAUGUUGCAACUAUACCCCAUCACCCCUCACUGCUUCAGGUAGGACGCACAGGUACCCAAACAAACCUGACCUCAACCACAGGUCACGUUAUUCUCCACCCAAACACAACAGUCCACGAUGGGAUCGAAAUUAGAAUUUAAACGGAAACCUGGACGCCCAAUCUUCCUUACGACUCGUUCCUCAAAUUCCGACUCGUUUUUUUUUUCCUUUGGACAAUUAGACUGGACAACGACAAAGCUCAAAUGAAACUUAUAUGCAAGUACUAAUAGUAUUCUGCGAAUACUUUUUAAGUGGGUGGGUAUGUGACGAUACGAAACUUGCAUACAUAAGUUCAUUUUAGUUUUUCCCAGCAAACCGUGAGAAACUUAAUUUUUAACUUAAACAAUUAUUUUCUUGUCCACCCAUAACUAAUUUCUUGUAGGAUUUAUCCCCCCUCGCACGUUUCUCACGGGACGAAUCUCGACAUAAAACAUUAACUAGCUUCUCUAGGGCUAACUUUUAAUUAUUGACCGCUGGGCAGGUGCAUGACCAGCACACAAUAAGUCGCUGCACCAGCGCUACACGCCGCGGCCUAAUAACUUUUCACACCUAUUCCCCCCCCCCCUCGCAGGAUACACAUCGCUCUAAGAAUAGCAUUGCACUCGGGCUGGACAGAUACAUAUUCGCUUAAGACUUUACUCCCACGGUAGGCAACGAAUAUUGACCAUAAAUCUGACCUGACGCCUGACAUCUCCGGUACAUCGAUACAUGUGAGAAAAUCAGUUAGCUUUCUUCCCCACCCGUUAAACGAAAAGUCCCAUCUAUAUAUAGAGAGAGACCAAAGCAUUCCAAAUUAGGCCCGCUAGGAUUCAUUCAGUCUCCUCUGUUAGGAAGUUUAGUUGUGAGAUUUCAUUAGGGACAAACGGCCUGGUUGCUACCCCUGGUUGCCACCCCUGAUUGCUACCCCUGAUUGCUACACCUGGUUGCUACACCCGACUGCUAUAACUAGCAGAUCUCCAUAGAAAGCUGAAACCGGAGCAGACCACACCAGAUACCCCCCCCCAUUACAUACCUGUUAGCAAGAAGGCAUUGCCUACUGUCCUUGGCCUUAACAUAUUGCCCAGUGUCUACAGUGCCCUAUACUGCCCAGUAUCAUCUGCCCAGUACCUGGCCCAAACUGUCCACUGCCCAGUAGUUAUUGCCCAAUGCCGACAGAUUAGAGCAACCUUCGCAGCAGAAGAUAAACUGGUGUUGAGUUAGCACGGCUCUCUACGAGCUAGAGAUCACAGCUGAGAGAUCGUCCCACUACAACUUAGUCUGCAGCACCAACCAUCUCUAUUGCUAAACAGGCAGCGGCCUCACCCUAGAGCCAGCUUGCCUACAGCAUAGAGAAUAUCCCGAGCCGACGUCCUAAGACAGAGCCGGAUGACUCAUCCUUCUGAGUGCCAGUCUUACGACCGCCAGAAGACAACCCAGGAGCUAGCAGCUAAGAAAAAUAAGUAGCAGACUUAGGAACAUUCUUCUCCUCCAAUCACUCAAUAAUUAGCAAUCCAUGAUGAACAGUUAUUUUAGAUAUUAGCACCUUUAUUUCUUUUAUUUUCUUAAUUAUAAUUUUAUUUGAUCACUUUCCUUUGUAAACUUUCAUUCAUUAAAUUAUUUUUAUUUAUGAACUUAUAAUAUUGGUCUGUUCUUACUGUUAGUUGCGGUGUGCCUGUACAAAAUCUUAUAUGUGAGCGGGAUAAAAUUAAUAAAAUUUCCCCUAGACAUAAAUAAACAAGCCAAAUAAUAACUAAUUAACAUC